CCCUUACUCCUACGGGAGGCAGCAGUGGGGAAUAUUGCACAAUGGGCGCAAGCCUGAUGCAGCGACGCCGCGUGAGGGAUGACGGCCUUCGGGUUGUAAACCUCUUUCACCAGGGACGAAGCGCAAGUGACGGUACCUGGAGAAGAAGCACCGGCCAACUACGUGCCAGCAGCCGCGGUAAUACGUAGGGUGCGAGCGUUGUCCGGAAUUACUGGGCGUAAAGAGCUCGUAGGCGGUUUGUCGCGUCGUCUGUGAAAUUCUGCAACUCAAUUGUAGGCGUGCAGGCGAUACGGGCAGACUUGAGUACUACAGGGGAGACUGGAAUUCCUGGUGUAGCGGUGAAAUGCGCAGAUAUCAGGAGGAACCACCGGUGGCGAAGGCGGGUCUCUGGGUAGUAACUGACGCUGAGGAGCGAAAGCGUGGGUAGCGAACAGGAUUAGAUACCCUGGUAGUCCACGCCGUAAACGGUGGGUACUAGGUGUGGGGCUCAUUUCACGAGUUCCGUGCCGUAGCUAACGCAUUAAGUACCCCGCCUGGGGAGUACGGCCGCAAGGCUAAAACUCAAAGGAAUUGACGGGGGCCCGCACAAGCGGCGGAGCAUGUGGAUGAAUUCGAUGCAACGCGAAGAACCUUACCUGGGUUUGACAUACACCAGAAAGCUGUAGAGAAUAGGCCCCCCCC
rnacentral:rRNA from 1 species